rnacentral:rRNA from 1 species
AUUGAACGCUGGCGGCAUGCCUUACACAUGCAAGUCGAACGGUAACAGGUUAAGCUGACGAGUGGCGAACGGGUGAGUAAUGUAUCGGAACGUGCCCAGUUGUGGGGGAUAACUGCUCGAAAGAGCAGCUAAUACCGCAUACGACCUGAGGGUGAAAGCGGGGGAUCGCAAGACCUCGCGCAAUUGGAGCGGCCGAUAUCAGAUUAGGUAGUGGGUGGGGUAAAGGCUCACCAAGCUGACGCUAUGUAGCUGGUCUGAGAGGACGACCAGCCACACUGGGACGGAGACACAGCCCAGACGCCAACGGGAGACAGCAGUGGGGAAUUUUGGACAAUGGGCGCAAGCCUGAUCCAGCCAUGCCGCGUGCGGGAAGAAGGCCUUCGGGUUGUAAACCGCUUUUGUCAGGGAAGAAACGCUCUGGGUUAAUACCCUGGGGUAAUGACGGUACCUGAAGAAUAAGCACCGGCUAACUACGUGCCAGCCGCCGCCGUAA